rnacentral:SRP_RNA from 1 species
GCUGGGUGUGGUGGUGCGUGUCUGUAGUCCCAGCUACUCUGGAGGCUGAGACAGGAGGAUCACCUGAGCCCGGGAAGUCGAGGCUGCAGUGAGCCGCGAUCGUGCCACUGCACUCUGGCCUGGGCUACAGGAGUGAGAUCCUGUCUAAA